rnacentral:rRNA from 1 species
UACGAAGGGUGCAAGCGUUAAUCGGAAUUACUGGGCGUAAAGGGGGCGUAGGCGGUUCGUUAAGUCUGGCGUGAAAUCCCCGGGCUCAACCUGGGAAUGGCGAUGGAUACUGGCGAGCUAGAGUGUGUCAGAGGAUGGUGGAAUUCCCGGUGUAGCGGUGAAAUGCGUAGAGAUCGGGAGGAACAUCAGUGGCGAAGGCGGCCAUCUGGGACAACACUGACGCUGAAGCACGAAAGCGUGGGGAGCAAACAGG